rnacentral:rRNA from 1 species
AACGGUGGAUCCGCGCCGGGUACGGGCGGGCUUGAGUGCGGUAGGGGAGACUGGAAUUCCCGGUGUAACGGUGGAAUGUGUAGAUAUCGGGAAGAACACCAAUGGCGAAGGCAGGUCUCUGGGCCGUCACUGACGCUGAGGAGCGAAAGCGUGGGGAGCGAACAGGAUUAGAUACCCUGGUAGUCCACGCCGUAAACGGUGGAUGCUGGAUGUGGGGACCAUUCCACGGUCUCCGUGUCGGAGCCAACGCGUUAAGCAUCCCGCCUGGGGAGUACGGCCGCAAGGCUAAAACUCAAAGAAAUUGACGGGGGCCCGCACAAGCGGCGGAGCAUGCGGAUUAAUUCGAUGCAACGCGAAGAACCUUACCUGGGCUUGACAUGUUCCCGACAGCCGUAGAGAUACGGUCUCCCUUCGGGGCGGGUUCACAGGUGGUGCAUGGUCGUCGUCAGCUCGUGUCGUGAGAUGUUGGGUUAAGUCCCGCAACGAGCGCAACCCUCGCCCCGUGUUGCCAGCGGAUUAUGCCGGGAACUCACGGGGGACCGCCGGGGUUAACUCGGAGGAAGGUGGGGAUGACGUCAGAUCAUCAUGCCCCUUACGUCCAGGGCUUCACGCAUGCUACAAUGGCCGGUACAGCGGGAUGCGACAUGGCGACAUGGAGCGGAUCCCUGAAAACCGGUCUCAGUUCGGAUCGGAGCCUGCAACCCGGCU